rnacentral:rRNA from 1 species
CUUAGGACGAACGCUGGCGGCGUGCCUAAUACAUGCAAGUCGAACGGUCUUUCUAUGGAAGCUUGCUUCCACUGAGAAGAUAGUGGCGAACGGGUGAGUAACACGUGGGUAACCUGCCCAUAAGAGGGGGAGUAACAUCCGGAAACGGGUGCUAAUACCGCAUAGUUUUCUUGAUCGCAUGAUUGAGAAAGGAAAGACGGCCUUUGUGCUGUCGCUUAUGGAUGGACCCGCGGCGUAUUAGUUAGUUGGUGAGGUAAUGGCUCACCAAGACGAUGAUACAUAGCCGACCUGAGAGGGUGAUCGGCCACAUUGGGACUGAGACACGGCCCAAACUCCUACGGGAGGCAGCAGUAGGGAAUCUUCCGCAAUGGACGAAAGUCUGACGGAGCAACGCCGCGUGAGUGAAGAAAGGUUUUCGGAUCGUAAAACUCUGUUGUCAGAGAAGAACAAGUUGGAGAGUAACUGCUCCAGCCUUGACGGUAUCUGACCAGAAAGCCACGGCUAACUACGUGCCAGCCGCGGC